UACCUAGCGGCAGACGGGUGCGUAACAUGUGGGAAUCUGCCUUUUGGUUCGGAACAACAUGGGGAAACCUGUGCUAAUACCGGAUAAGUCCUAACGGAGAAAGUUUUAAUGCCAAAAGAUGAGCCCGCAUUUGAUUAGCUUGUUGGUGAGGUAAAAGCUCACCAAGGCUAUAAUCAAUAGCUGAUUUGAGAGGAUGAUCAGCCACACUGGGACUGAGAUACGGCCCAGACUCCUACGGGAGGCAGCAGUGGGGAAUCUUGCACAAUGGGCGAAAGCCUGAUGCAGCGAUGCCGCGUGAGUGAAGAAGGCCUUUGGGUUGUAAAGCUCUUUUGUCGGGAAAGAUAAUGACUGUACCCGAAGAAUAAGGUCCGGCUAACUUCGUGCCAGCAGCCGCGGUAAUACGAAGGGACCUAGCGUAGUUCGGAAUUACUGGGCGUAAAGAGUAUGUAGGCGGCUAGAUAAGUUAAUUGUGAAAGCCCAAAGCUUAACUUUGGAACUGCAAUUAAAACUAUUUAGCUAGAGUAUGAUAGAGGAAAGCGGAAUACAUAGUGUAGAGGUGAAAUUCGUAGAUAUUAUGU
rnacentral:rRNA from 1 species